GCAGGAGCGAGGUGGACAAACGGAGGCGGAGAAGGAAACCCAAGCCCAAUUCUCUUCCCGGUCUCCGAUUCCCGGCCUUGUUCAUCCCCCACUCCUCGAGGAGGGCGAAUCCAUCUCCCUCUCGUCCUUAAACCCUAGCCCGAAUCCUCUCCCCUCCCAUCCCCCUCUCGAGUACCUCUAUCCUCCCCUCUUCGAGCUUCGGAUCUCCUCCAUUGCCGCCGGAUUUGGCCGCUCCGGUUGAUCCGAUGGCGCGGCAGGAGCAGCACUGACAUGGGGCUCGAAUCUUCUGGCGGGAUUCGGCGACUGGAUCGGACGGGGGGCAUCGGUGCGGCGGCGAUCGGCGGUCGGUUGCUUUGAUCGGACCUCGUGGCGCGGCGAUCGGAUGGUGGUGGGUGGCUGAUCGGGCGGCAACAGGGCGAUGGAGGAGGGUGAGAGUAGCAAGGAGGAUGGAUCUCGUGCGGGAGAGUCGGACGGGGCCGCGUCGGCCGAUUCCGGCAGCUCGUCAUCGCGGAUGCCGAGUGGAGAGGCUUUCCGUCCUUAUGUGUCUCCGCCGCAGUCUUCUACCGGGGCAUCGGUGAAACCCGGCACGCUACGGAUCAUCGUGAGGAAACCUCUGGUGGCAAGGCUAACCAAAGACAUACUUGAAACUUUCCAAAUAUGUAACCCAAAUUUUAAAUAUUCAGAGGCACUGAACCCAAAGCGAUUCCUUACCAAUCCAUCGGUUGGAGUAAAGAAUGAUGGCCAUGAUAAUGCAGCGUCGAAUCUUAUCUUAUAUGUGAAUUUUGUGUUGGUCAAUAUGGUGUCAAAUCAAAGGUAUAUUGUCAAAGAUCUCCUUGGCCAAGGCACUUUUGGACAAGUAGCGAAGUGCUGGGUUUGUCAAAACAACAGUUAUGUUGCUGUUAAAAUUAUCAAAAACGACCCUGCUUAUUAUCAGCAAGCAUCGGUUGAGAUCUCUCUUUUGCAUGUGCUGAAUCGGAAGUUCGACCCUGAUGAUAAACAUCAUAUUGUCCGCAUCCUUGAUUAUUUUGUCUAUCAGCGCCAUUUAUGCAUCACGUUUGAAUUGCUUGGCCCAAACCUGUUUGAGCUAAUUAAAAUGAACAACUACAAAGGGUUGUCAUUGAACAUUGUCCAAAUGUUCUCAAGACAGAUCUUGCAUGCAUUAAUUGUCAUGAAAGAUGCUGGAAUAAUACAUUGUGAUUUGAAACCAGAAAAUAUACUCAUAUCUACAAGUGUGAAGCCACCAGAAAUAAAAAUUAUUGAUUUUGGAUCAGCAUGUAUGGAGGGUCAGACAAUUUACUCGUACAUUCAGAGCCGUUACUACAGAUCUCCAGAGGUUCUUCUUGGCUAUCCAUAUAACACUUCUAUUGAUAUGUGGUCUUUUGGGUGUAUUGUUGCUGAGUUGUUCUUAGGGUUGCCUUUAUUUCCUGCAUCCUCGGAAUUUGAUCUUCUUAAACGAAUGAUCGAGACACUUGGUGGACAACCUCCUGAUGAUCUACUUAGGGAUGCAAAAAACACAAGCAAGUUCUUUAAGCGUGUUGGGAGUAUUCAUAGGUUGGAGGAUGAUAAAGCCUGCAAAGGAGUUACCAGUGCUUACCGUGCUUUAACUGAAGAGGAAUAUGAAGCAAGGGAAUCAGAAAGACCAAAACUGGGUAAACGCUAUUUUAAUUGUGCAAAGCUUGAGGAGAUCAUUGCAAAUUAUCCAUACAGAAUGAACUCACCUGAAGAAAUCAAGAAAGAAAAUUUGACCCGCUUAGCAUUGGUUGAUUUCUUGAGAGGCCUUGUUGAGUUUGAUCCAGGGAAACGGUGGUCACCUGUACAGGCUUCGCAUCAUCCGUUUCUCACUGGCAAACCCUUUACAUGUCCUUAUGAGCCUCCGCCAGAGACCCCGCGAAUUCCCGUCCUUCAUACUGUUACCGUGGAUCACAACCCAGGAGGCGGUCAUUGGCUAGCUGCUGGUCUCUCUCCUCAGGUUGCAAAUUCAAACAGAUGUCUUCUGCAGAAUAGCCCUCAUUUUCAGAAUGUGCCUUUCUCAUAUGGCAGUAGUUAUGGCAGCUUGGGAAGCCAUGGUAGCUAUAAUGAUAAUGCUGCUGUUGGAAGUAGCUAUGGAAGCUAUGCUGAUGUGAAUAAUAUGCACACAUAUUAUUCACCAGUUGGUCCAUGUGGUGUCAACAUACAUGCACAAAUCGGGGGAUCAUUUCUUGGAUCCAGUCCAGAUGCUAGGCGUAUACCUCAACUGUCUCAUGGAAAUGGAUUUGGUCCAAGUCCUGUAAGUUUGGGACCAAUGUCUCUGGGAGCCAGUCCCACACAAUUUACUCCUCCAAGCUCCCAAAUGCAGAUUUCAACUGCUUCUCCUGGAAAGUAUGGUACCACUUCUCCUGCAAGAAGUGUACAUAUUCCUUCACGGGGCAAAGCAGCAGCUGUUGGCCAUUACAACAGAAGAAGAAAUUGGGGAUAUUCAACUGUGUGUGCGCAAUCCUAUGAAAGUGCAUCUCAGCAUGGACCAGGACAUCAUGGCGAUGGCAUCAGUUGGAGUCACCCUGAUACCUAUUCUGGAGGACAUGGUGGAUCUCCUCGAAGUGCACUUUUGGCUUCCAAUCAUGCUAAUUGGAGGCAACAGAGGGGUGUUGGGACUGGCCUAUCUUCAGGCCCCUCUUCUACCAAUCACCAGCCUUCUGCAGCAUCCCAUGCUCAUAAUUCCAACACAGUCUCCUUACGUUCCUCAGAGGUUUUGUUUGAUAAGCCUGAAUGCAAUUCAUCAGUACCUGAUCCUGCAGAUUGGGACCCCAAUUAUAGUGAUGAAUCUCUUUUGCAAGAGGAUAAUUCAGACUCCCUAGCUUUUGAAUUUAAUGGUAUCCACCUUAGGAAUACAAUGGACACCAUGAAUGUAACCAGUGCAGUUGGCAGAUUUGGUCACAGCCGAAAGCUGGCUCAUAUGAAUUUUAUAUCGACAAAUCAUAGAACAGAUGGACCGUUUCAGGCAUAUUCACUUGGUGAGAAUAGUCACACUUCUACCCAUGAUAUGCAUGUUGGCUAUGGCCGUUUGUCCCAUUUUUCACAAAACAUUCCCAGCCGCUUUGGACAGCAAUCAGUUCAUCAGUUCAGUCAUAUGAACUCUACUUUUAUUCAUGGUGAAAGAAAUCAUCAGAAUGAUCAGCCAACUCGUUCAAACUACAGUAUGGAAGGUUCUUAUUCUUCUACCAAUGCUUUGUUCACCAAUGGCAUGCCCUGGGGACGAAGGACUGGGCAUUCCGUUGCAACCACUGUACCAUCGUACCAUGCAAGAAAGGACUAUGGAAGGAUCUUGUGAUGUGGAAGGCCGACCAACAGGAUGUCAUUUAUUGCAGGCACUGAAAUUUGCGCUCGAAAAUUCCAGUUGCCUUGCUUGUGCUGUUUCUGACAGUCUUCAUUUGGGUCUUGAUAAAACAUUGUGCUUCACAGAUAAAAUGCUAUAGCUAUGGCAAUUUCCCAUUCUUUAUGUUAUGUGAUCUUUUGAUCUUUCAACUCCUAAGCCCAAUAGGGGCUUCUGUGCUUUCGUUUCUGGUGGUAUACUUCAGCCAACAAAUAUAUGGCUAGAUAUCUCUAUGGAUGUUUCUAACUUCUGUUCUGAGGUGUAUCCCGCAGUUAGAAAGGAAAAGGAGGGAAAGACGGUUUUCGCUUGGAUCGCACAAUCUGCUGGAAAUAUUUAAAGACUCUGACAGGACUUAUUUUUGCACCUCUGUUACCCUGAUGGUUCCCCUUCCCUUCUGAGGAAACAAAUGAGUGCAGGUUGCUUUUUAUUAAAAAUGGAGAAUCUGAACUUUCAAGGUUUACUGGCUGCUUUGAAAGUAAAUCUCGGUGUGUAUGCACGGGCUAAGCGAACUCUGUAUGGACAUUUAAUACUAUAUGGCCGAUGCAUGCAAUUUAUUUGUUCCAUCUUCCAAUUUUUCAUC